rnacentral:rRNA from 1 species
UGAGAGUUUGAUCCUGGCUCAGGAUGAACGCUGGCGGUCUGCUUAACACAUGCAAGUCGAACGCAACCUUCGGGUUGAGUGGCGGACGGGUGAGUAACGCGUGAGAAUCUGCCUUGGGGUCGGGGACAACCACUGGAAACGGUGGCUAAUACCGGAUACGCCUUCGGGUAAAAGAUUUAUUGCCCUAAGAGGAGCUCGCGUCUGAUUAGCUAGUUGGUGAGGUAAGAGCUCACCAAGGCAGCGAUCAGUAGCUGGUCUGAGAGGACGAUCAGCCACACUGGGACUGAGACACGGCCCAGACUCCUACGGGAGGCAGCAGUGGGGAAUUUUCCGCAAUGGGCGAAAGCCUGACGGAGCAAGACCGCGUGAGGGAGGAAGGCUCUUGGGUUGUAAACCUCUUUUCUCAGGGAAGAAGCUCUGACGGUACCUGAGGAAUCAGCCUCGGCUAACUCCGUGCCAGCAGCCGCGGUAAUACGGAGGAGGCAAGCGUUAUCCGGAAUUAUUGGGCGUAAAGCGUCCGCAGGUGGCGAUUCAAGUCUGCUGUCAAAGCACGGGGCUUAACUCCGUAAAGGCAGUGGAAACUGAAUAGCUAGAGUGCCGUAGGGGUAGAGGGAAUUCCCGGUGUAGCGGUGAAAUGCGUAGAGAUCGGGAAGAACAUCGGUGGCGAAAGCGCUCUACUGGACGGCAACUGACACUCAGGGACGAAAGCUAGGGGAGCGAAUGGGAUUAGAUACCCCAGUAGUCCUAGCUGUAAACGAUGGA